CUCUAGCUGCACUCCGCAGCAUGGCUUAAUUGGGUCCUUGGAUGGCCCCACCAUGACUCCCCAGGUGAUAAGAUGCGUCCUGUGUACCUCCUCGUACCAUUGCUGUUCUGGGCGCUGUGUUUACAAUGACGAACAAGACAGACUGGGCCCCGGGACACAAAAAGCUUACAAUCUGGAGGAAGGCUGACCAACAGAAAUAUAAUACACCUGGGAAUCCUGAUAAUGGAAAAUGUACCACCCAGAAAUAUUUCCUGAGGCCUGAGCAUACUCACAAAUAAUAGAAUGAGCCAUGGAACUGCUAUUUAAG